AUUGAACGCUGGCGGCAGGCCUAACACAUGCAAGUCGAGCGGAUGAAGGGAGCUUGCUCCUGGAUUCAGCGGCGGACGGGUGAGUAAUGCCUAGGAAUCUGCCUGGUAGUGGGGGAUAACGUCCGGAAACGGGCGCUAAUACCGCAUACGUCCUGAGGGAGCAAGUGGGGGAUCUUCGGACCUCACGCUAUCAGAUGAGCCUAGGUCGGAUUAGCUAGUUGGUGGGGUAAAGGCCUACCAAGGCGACGAUCCGUAACUGGUCUGAGAGGAUGAUCAGUCACAAUGGAACUGAGACAAGGUCCAGACUCCUACGGGAGGCAGCAGUGGGGAAUAUUGGACAAUGGGCGAAAGCCUGAUCCAGCCAUGCCGCGUGUGUGAAGAAGGUCUUCGGAUUGUAAAGCACUUUAAGUUGGGAGGAAGGGCAGUAAGUUAAUACCUUGCUGUUUUGACGUUACCAACAGAAUAAGCACCGGCUAACUUCGUG
rnacentral:rRNA from 1 species